rnacentral:rRNA from 1 species
UUGGACAAUGGGUGAAAGCCUGAUCCAGCCAUCCCGCGUGAAGGACGACGGCCCUAUGGGUUGUAAACUUCUUUUGUACAGGAAUAAACCAUUCUACGUGUAGGAUGCUGAAGGUACUGUACGAAUAAGCACCGGCUAACUCCGUGCNCAGCAGC